AAGUCGUAACAAGGUUUCCGUAGGUGAACCUGCGGAAGGAUCAUUAUUGAAUAAACCUGGCGUGGUUGUAGCUGGUCCUCUCGGGGACAUGUGCUCGCCCGUCAUCUUUAUAUCUCCACCUGUGCACCCUUUGUAGACCUGGACGAUAACUUUCCGAGGCAACUCGGUCGGGAGGACUGCUGGCUUUCACGAGUAGGCUUUCCUUGUAUUAUCCAGGCCUAUGUCUUACACAUACCCCAAAGAAUGUAACAGAAUGUAUUGUAUAUGGCCUAGUGCCUAUAAACUAUAUACAACUUUCAGCAACGGAUCUCUUGGCUCUC
rnacentral:misc_RNA from 1 species